AUUGAACGCUGGCGGCAGGCCUAACACAUGCAAGUCGAGCGGAUGAGAGGAGCUUGCUCUUUGAUUUGGCGGCGGACGGGUGAGUAAUGCCUAGGAAUCUGCCUGGUAGUGGGGGACAACGUUUCGAAAGGAACGCUAAUACCGCAUACGUCCUACGGGAGAAAGUGGGGGAUCUUCGGACCUCACGCUAUCAGAUGAGCCUAGGUCGGAUUAGCUAGUUGGUGAGGUAAUGGCUCACCAAGGCGACGAUCCGUAACUGGUCUGAGAGGAUGAGCAGUCACACUGGAACUGAGACACGGUCCAGACUCCUACGGGAGGCAGCAGUGGGGAAUAUUGGACAAUGGGCGCAAGCCUGAUCCAGCCAUGCCGCGUGUGUGAAGAAGGUCUUCGGAUUGUAAAGCACUUUAAGUUGGGAGGAAGGUCAGUAGCUUAAUACGUUGCUGAUUUGACGUUACCGACAGAAUAAGCACCGGCUAACUCUGUGCCAGCCGCCGCCGUAACAC
rnacentral:rRNA from 1 species